CCUACGGGAGGCAGCAGUGAGGAAUUUUCCGCAAUGGGCGAAAGCCUGACGGAGCAAUACCGCGUGAGGGAUGAAGGAUUUUGGUCUGUAAACCUCUUUUCUCAAGAAAGAAGUUCUGACGGUACUUGAGGAAUAAGCAUCGGCUAACUCCGUGCCAGCAGCCGCGGUAAUACGGGGGAUGCAAGCGUUAUCCGGAAUGAUUGGGCGUAAAGCGCCUGUAGGUUGUUUAUUAAGUCCGUUGUUAAAGCCUAGGGCUCAACCCUAGAAAAGCAAUGGAAACUAGUAGACUAGAGUAUGGCAGGGGUAGAGGGAAUUUCUAGUGUAGCGGUGAAAUGCGUAGAUAUUAGAAAGAACACCGGUGGCGAAAGCGCUCUACUGGACCAUUACUGACACUCAGAGGCGAAAGCUAGGGUAGCAAAAAGGGAUUAGAUACCCCUGUAGUCCUAGCCGUAAACGAUGGAUACUAGAUGUUGUGCAUUAUGUACAGUAUCGUAGCUAACGCGUUAAGUAUCCCGCCUGGGGAGUACGCUCGCAAGGGUGAACUUAAGGAAUUGACGG
rnacentral:rRNA from 1 species